rnacentral:rRNA from 1 species
GCAAGGAGGAGGAAGGUGAGGACGACGUCAAAGUCAUCAUGGCCCUUACGGCCAGGGCUACACACGUCGCUACAAUGGGGCGUACAGAGAGCUGCGAUACCGCGAGGUGGAGCCAAUCUCUUAAAGCGUCUCUCAGUUCGGAUUGUUCUCUGCAACUCGAGAACAUGAAGCUGGAAUCACUAGUAAUCGCAGAUCAGCUAUGCUGCGGUGAAUACGUUCCCGGGUCUU